rnacentral:rRNA from 1 species
GACGAACGCUGGCGGCGUGCUUAACACAUGCAAGUCGAACGGAAAGGCCCUGCUUUUGUGGGGUGCUCGAGUGGCGAACGGGUGAGUAACACGUGAGUAACCUGCCCUUGACUUUGGGAUAACUUCAGGAAACUGGGGCUAAUACCGGAUAGGAGCUCCUGCUGCAUGGCGGGGGUUGGAAAGUUUCGGCGGUUGGGGAUGGACUCGCGGCUUAUCAGCUUGUUGGUGGGGUAGGGGCUUACCAAGGCUUUGACGGGUAGCCGGCCUGAGAGGGUGACCGGCCACAUUGGGACUGAGAUACGGCCCAGACUCCUACGGGAGGCAGCAGUGGGGAAUAUUGCACAAUGGGCGGAAGCCUGAUGCAGCAACGCCGCGUGCGGGAUGACGGCCUUCGGGUUGUAAACCGCUUUCGCCUGUGACGAAGCGUGAGUGACGGUAAUGGGUAAAGAAGCACCGGCUAACUACGUG